rnacentral:rRNA from 1 species
GACGAACGCUGGCGGCGCGCUUAACACAUGCAAGUCGAACGGAAAGGCCUGCUUUCCCUUGUGGAUUGCGGGUACUCGAGUGGCGAACGGGUGAGUAACACGUGAGUAAUCUGCCCCCAACUUGGGUAUAAGCCUGGGAAACUGGGUCUAAUUCCCGAUAGGACUGCAGGGUGGUGCCUGUGGUGGAAAACGAUUUUCUAGUGGUUGGGGAUGAGCUCGCGGCCUAUCAGCUUGUUGGUGUGGUAAUGGCCUACCAAGGCGGCGACGGGUAGCCGGCCUGGGAGGGUGGACGGCCACAUUGGGACUGAGAUACGGCCCAGACUGCUACGGGAGGCAGCAGUGGUGAAUAUUGGGGAAUGGGCGGAAGCCAGAUGCAGCGACGCCGCGUGGGGGAUGACGGCCUUCGGGUUGUAAGCUCCUUUCGACCGAGAGGAAGCCACCUGGUUGGAAGGGUGGUGACGGUAGUGGUAGAAGAAGCACCGGCUAACUACGUG